rnacentral:lncRNA from 1 species
AUUCCUCCUUGCAGUGCUGGGGGAAGCUGUUUGUGUCUCUAUAGACGUGGAGAGAACAGGAACACAUGUUUUCUGUACUACAUGGCUAAUGCAGGAUACAGGGCUGCAGUUGUUGGGUGAAGCUUUGCCCGAAAGUUGAGAAAUGGGUGCAGCGCAAGGAUGCAGAACAGGAGUCGCAGACCAAAGCAGAGAUCCAGGAUAUGAAGCAAGAGUUAUCCGCGGUCAAUAUGAUGGACAAGUUUGCCAGAUCUGCCAGGCUGGAAAGAAAGAUCAACAAGAUGAUGAAUAAGCUCAAAACUCAUGUGAAAGUACAGACAGCUCAAUCAGGAAUGCUAAAAUGGGUUAUAAGUGUUGCUUUCUACAAAUUGCCAGGUACCGUGAUCAGGCUAUAAGGCAGUCUUGUGGGGUUAUCCAUUACUUGACAGGGUCUCGCUCUGUUGCCCAGGCUGGAGUGCAGUGGGCCAUCUAGGCUCACUGUAGCCUCUGCCACCCGGGUUCAAGUGACCUUCCCACUUCAGCCUCACAAGUAGCUGGCACUAAAAGUGCUUGCCACCAUACCCGGAUAAUUUUCAUAUUUUUUGUAAAGACAGGGUCUCACCAUGUUGCCCAGACUGGUCGCGUUUUCUUCCUCUGUUUAAAAUGGCAUUUGUUGGACAAGCAUUUGUAUAGUACUAUGUACUUACUUGAAGCUGUUAAUUUUUCAUUACAAUGUUUUGUAAAUUUCUUCAUGAGGCCAUAAUGCAUUGUUUUGUGCUCAAAUUUUGCAUUGUAUUUAAAGCAUUCA